UGUGUAGGCUGUUUAUUAAGUCUAAGAUUAAAGCCCGAGGCUCAACCUCGGUUUGUUUUAGAAACUGGUAGACUUGAGUAUAGUAGAGGCAAGUGGAAUUUCUAGUGUAGCGGUUAAAUGCGUAGAUAUUAGAAGGAACACCGGUGGCGAAGGCGACUUGCUGGGCUAUUACUGACGCUGAGACACGAAAGCGUGGGGAGCAAAUA
rnacentral:rRNA from 1 species